rnacentral:rRNA from 1 species
CCUACGGGUGGCAGCAGUGGGGAAUAUUGGGCAAUGGGCGCAAGCCUGACCCAGCAACGCCGCGUGAAGGAAGAAGGCUUUCGGGUUGUAAACUUCUUUUGUCAGGGACGAAGGAAGUGACGGUACCUGACGAAUAAGUCACGGCUAACUACGUGCCAGCAGCCGCGGUAAUAAGUAGGUGGCAAGCGUUAUCCGGCUUUAUUGGGUGGAAAGGGCGUGUGGGGGGGAAUGCAAGUCAGAUGUGAAAACUAUGGGGUUAAACCAUAGCCUGCAUUUGAUACUGUAAUGCUUGAGUGCUGGAGAGGCAAUCGGAAGUCCGUGUGUAGCGGUGAAAUGCGUAGAUAUACGGAGGAACACCAGUGGCGAAGGCGGAUUGCUGGACAGUAACUGACGCUGAGGCGCGAAAGCGUGGGGAGCAAACAGGAUUAGAUACCCUUGUAGUC